GCUGGUCUUGAAUUCCUGACCUCAGGUGAU
rnacentral:piRNA from 1 species